rnacentral:rRNA from 1 species
GUACACUCCUGCGGGAGGCAGCAGUGGGGAAUAUUGGCCAAUGGGCGCAAGCCUGAUCCAGCCAUGCCGCGUGAGUGAUGAAGGCCCUAGGGUUGUAAAGCUCUUUCACCGGUGAAGAUAAUGACGGUAACCGGAGAAGAAGCCCCGGCUAACUUCGUGCCAGCAGCCGCGGUAAUACGAAGGGGGCUAGCGUUGUUCGGAUUUACUGGGCGUAAAGCGCACGUAGGCGGACUAUUAAGUCAGGGGUGAAAUCCCGGGGCUCAACCCCGGAACUGCCUUUGAUACUGGUAGUCUUGAGUUCGAGAGAGGUGAGUGGAAUUCCGAGUGUAGAGGUGAAAUUCGUAGAUAUUCGGAGGAACACCAGUGGCGAAGGCGGCUCACUGGCUCGAUACUGACGCUGAGGUGCGAAAGCGUGGGGAGCAAACAGGAUUAGAUACCCGAGUAGUCC